rnacentral:lncRNA from 1 species
CCCCGAGGGGGCACGCGAACGGCCGGCCCCGGGAGGACAACGAGGAGGAGGAAGACGAUGAGGAUGAGGAGGAGCACGAGAGGAGGGCUCCGGAGAGGCGGCCCAGGCAGGUCGAGCUGCGCCGGGACUGCCCCAACCCCGACAGGUAUACUGUCUUUAGUUGCAAUGGAGGGUGCUAAGAUUGUUGGCGAUGCAGUGGUCUCUUACUAGUCACUAAUUAGUCAUACAAGCCAUAAAUGAUGCAUCUGGACCCUACCGCGAACGGCGCGACCGGGCGGGGCGCCGGCGCCACCACUAGACAUGGUCCCGUACCGUCUUGUGGCAGGUCCUCGGGCUGUCCAGGCAAGAGCAAGGUGAAUGUUAUUCAUUCGAAUUCGUGUACUGCAAACUUUUUCCUUUGUGUCCACUGUAAAAGUUGAAGGAUGAGUGCGUCUCAACUCAAGUGUAUACAUUGAUUCAGUGUUGUACUGUUAGAUUAGCUCGUCACCUUCAGUAACUGCUACAAGCAGAGCUAUGUGUAUCCCUGUUCUGAACUUGGAUGAAUUCAAGUCAACCGUUCAUCUUGUGUUCUGAACUUAAGAUUUUAUCAGUGUGAGGUUUCCUUGAAAAAAUGUGUGGUGGUUUUCUCCCCACGCCGAUGUAGCGGCCCGCACAUUGGAGACACGAGCAUCGCCAUGGUUUGCUGCAGAAUCUGAAACCAACCAAUUAGAACCUGAAACCUCAUGGUCAACUCAGUCUGAAUAAUAUUGCCUUGUACUACUAUUUGUAAUUUUGGUCAUGUUUAUCUAUUUUGAUUUCUAGUUCUACAUAGCUGUGCAAGUGUGCUAUAGUUGUUUAUUCUGUGACAUGGGAUACUUUUUUGGUUAGUUAUAAGCAAUGAACAUUUAGCCCGGCUUGCUUGAUCCUGGCUCCACCAAUAAUAUAUGUAGCUAUCUUGCUUAACUUUUCAUCAUGUAUGAUAAAAAUGUGAGGCUCUAGUUAGGUCUCUUCUCUGAACUUCAUUGCCUCAUGGGAUGUAGUGGUCUCUCUGUUCCAUAAGCUGUAAUUAAUCAUAUCCAAAACACAAAUUAUCUGUCCCGGUUUAUUUUCUUGGAUUUAAACAAUGGAUUGAUCUCUUAGCCACCAAUAUAUCAUUCUGUAAGCUGUAAUCAAUAGUAUCCAAAUGGAAUGGGACCUUUCUUUUAUUUGAAACUUCCAAAUCAAGUGUUUUCCUUGAAAUAUAUUAACGGUGGUGUAAGUGAUUUAGCUUUUGAACAGAAACUUUUACAUGGUUCUAGUUGCUUUGACGGUACAAUAUGUUCUACUGUACAUUAUAUUUCCAUAUCCAUAUAAUUUAGUUUGAGAAAGUAACUUAAGGAGGUGUAUCCCUUUUUAUAAUUCCUCUACACUACUCAAUCGCUAUCUGCCUCUAAUUGUUAUAGUGACAUCACUUAUGGGUGCGGCGCUAAAUUCUUGAGAACCUGCUCUAAUCAUCAUACUUUCCAUCCCUCCGUUCAGAUGUAUUACUGUUUCUGAACUAUCAGGCACAAAGGAUGCCUAGCCUUGUUCAUCUGGUGAUCACUGUAUUGGAACCUGAAGGAUAUUUAGCCUUGUCAUCAUGAUGGCCGUUGUCUUCCUUUUUCCUGAAUAUUAUGACCAGCUGAUUAAAGCCUGAAACUGAAGCUUGAUCUUACUUAAAAUUGACCACAGCCUAAUUUUUAUGCUGCAGUUAGGCCUUGGAUAGAAAAUAAACGUGUUAUGCAGGUGAUAUUUCACUAUAUUAUUUUAGUUUUGGAAAUGCACAUUCACGGAUUAUAGUAGCAUUUCUGUCUACUGAAUUUCGUUCUGCUGUUUUUUUUCAUAUCGCUCAUUCUAUUGGCAUGUUUACUCAAAUGUGCCUAAUGUGGUGAGAUCCGGCUGGGCGGCGCCUCGGUCUGUCCUGUCGCGGUAGAUCUCGCUGGUGUAGGGUAGAUGUUAACCCACCAUGGCAAUUCAUAGAUGUAGAGACGCACGGGGAGCACAUGAGCAUGGUUUCAGAUCAGGCUCCUGUGACGAACCCCAUCCGGUCCAGAAGCCUCCAGGUCUAGCGUAUCGGCGUGAACGCCAUCUCUUUCAGAAUGUAUGGACUUUCUCGUCGCUUGCCCCGUUGUACAUCAUUGUUCCCUUUUUAAGGAUACAUUCACCUAGUUCCUGUUUUUUAUGGCUUUUGUUCUGUUUGUUUACAGAUUAAGUCUGUCAUUGCCUUUACCAUGUUUCUUAAAGCCUUUGGUGGUCUCCUUUUCAUCAUCAGCAGCUCGUUCGGAGCAGUCAUACUGGUGCGUACUCUUCUUGUGCAUGCACUAUAUCUAGAAUUAUGUUAUGUUAAAGGGGCAUCUAGAUGCAUACUGUUAUGGCUGCCAUUAAAUACAUGUCUUCUCAAACUAUUUAAAAGGAAGUGUUGUUGUCGUGCCAUUUAGGUAGUUUCAAAAGAUAUGAUGUGCUUGGCUGUUAAUGUUUUAGUGUGCGCUUCUCACCUGCUGUAAAAGGCCAAUUCGGGCAUUGUAGCUGCUUCAGUAUUUGAUCUGCAUAUAUUUUGCUUUUGCAAUAUCCUGUUCUAACAUCUGAAAAUGGAAUACUUUAACAAUAUAAUCUUCCUAACUUUUUGCAACUGAUUUUUGUUGUAGUCCAAAAUUAUAUGUUUGUGUUUAUUGCCUUUUUUAGUGUGUUGAUAUUUGAAAGGGGAAUAGGGCAACGUGUUGCACUCUUGCUUUUGUUAGAGCACUAUAUUUUAUUGUUAACCAUGCUAUGGUCCAAACUCCUUUUUAUUCUGCUGAUAUGAUAUUGCUCAUCUUUUGUUUUCUGCUCGAUGCCUCCAGUAUUUAGAGUAGAAAUAUUCUUAACUUAGUGUUUCUUGAACAUGGCCAGGGCAAUGGAUAAAAUCUACUCUAGAUAGUUGGCAGAGGGAGUACAUGCUAAGUUGACUUUUUUCCCGCGGAUUUGCUUAUCGUGAAGAUGCUUGCAAGGAUGCAGAGGGAGCGGAUCAUUUGGAGAGAUAGGAUGCCACUAUUUGGUGUUUUUAUGCAUUUUGGUUUGCUUGUAACUGUGUUUGCACUAGCUGGGAGUAAGUGACUUGGCAAGAAGUGUAGGUGUUUUAAUUGAAGGCAUGAAAAGCCAUGAAAAUAUGUAUGCUCUUAACAGAUGUGCUCUAAUGCUGCUGGUUUAUUAUAAAUCUUGGAUCAGUACUGAUGUGUAAUGCUGCUUGUUUAUUGCAAAUAUGUGUUUGUUUUAGUUGGAAUUGUAUGCAUAGAAUGUAAU